CCUACGGGGGGCUGCAGUCGAGAAUAUUCCCCAAUGGACGAAAGUCUGAGGGAGCGACGCCGCGUGCAGGAUGAAGUCCUUCGGGAUGUAAACUGCUUUUAUCAGGGACGAACUAUGACGGUACCUGAAGAAUAAGAGGUUGCUAACUCUGUGCCAGCAGCAGCGGUAAUACAGAGACCUCGAGCGUUAUCCGGAUUUAUUGGGCGUAAAGCGUGCGCAGGCGACUUGAAUAGUCCUUGGUUAAAUCCCGGAGCUUAACUCCGGAACCGCCAGGGAAACUUUCAAGAUUGAGGCCGGGAGAGGUUAGCGGAAUUGCCGGUGUAACGGUAAAAUGUGUUAAUAUCGGCAAGAACACCAGAGGCGAAGGCGGCUAACUAGAACGGACCUGACGCUGAGGCACGAAAGCGUGGGGAGCGAAUGGGCUUAGAUACCCCAGUAGUC
rnacentral:rRNA from 1 species